GAUGAAGAACGCAGCGAAAUGCGAUAAGUAGUGUGAAUUGCAGGAUUCAGUGAAUCAUCGAAUCUUUGAACGCACAUUGCGCCCCUUGGUAUUCCAUGGGGCAUGCCUGUUCGAGCGUCAUUUACACCCUCAAGCUCUGCUUGGUGUUGGGCGUCUGUCCCGCUGCUUUGCGCGGACUCGCCUCAAAGGUAUUGGCAGCGAUCAUGCCAGCUUCUCGCGCAGCACAUUGCGCUUCUUGAAGUUCUGGUGGAUCAGCGUCCAUUAAGCUUACCUUCAUGACUUGACCUCGGAUCAGGUAGGGAUACCCGCUGAACUUAAGCAUAUCAAUAAGCGGAGGA
rnacentral:misc_RNA from 1 species